ensembl:lncRNA
GUACGCGGUCCCGGGGUAAAACUGCUGAUCUCACAGCUUGCACCCCACACUUUCCUCAGGUAUUCCAGGAAUUCAGUCCAGCUGCCUUAAAAUGCAGCAGAGGUUGACUGAAUCGUUUGCAGGUCUUUCACAGAGGCAUAAAAAAGGCAGUGCUGCUCAGAGGAUGAAACACAGAGCCUUCCCUUGGCCCUUCCCAACCGUACAUGACACGGCCCAGAGGAUCAGAUGCUCUCUGUCUGCUUCUUGAAUCAUGUUUACGAAUGUUGCCCUUCCACAAGUGGAGAACAGCAGUGCCCUUAUGACGUUGCUACUUCAGGCCUGCCGGCAAGACUUCGGUUCCUCGGCCUCCUGCCCCAUCUUUUAUGGAUCUCAGGAACUGCCUGUGAGGUUUCAGUGGGGCUGGCGUACAACCCUGCUCACAGAACAGUACAUUGUACAUCCUGUGCUGAAGAGUUAAUUUCCCUGCUAGCUGCUCUGCCACACCUAAGGCGAACUUUCUCCCCAAGCAGCAGGAGUCAGAGGCUGCACCCAGAGAGCACCCUGGAAAACAGAGGAGCAGCAGUAUACAUCACCAGAGGCUGCAGGAGAAUACUGGAAGCAGAGGAUGGGAUCUGCCGCCUGUACCAUGCAGCAAUCAGAGCUAUCCCUACUUGUUCUUUUGAGAUAAAACACACUUUUUAAUGCUUAGAUUUUAAUUACCUUUCUACUCAAUGUACAGGCUUGUAGAGGAGCCCACCCUGUUUUGUAUUUUCUUUAAAGGAUCCAUAAGUUCAAUACAAUGAGACCUAGCUUAGUAAAGAUAAGGAAAGGUUUCCCCAGGGAUGCUGUGGCAUGAAAGAGGUUUCUGUCAUGAUAUGGUCAUUCUAACAAAGCAGAGCAAUACAUGAGGGUUUCUCACCUUUAACUUGUUGGCAUUAUACAGCACAGACCUUCCACUAAUUGUUACAAAUUCAGAAUAAGAAAAAAUAAAUGAAAAACAGAAGUUGAAAUUGUGAGUUAAUGAGAGCAAAAUGUGGAGUGGGCUGCAGCAUUCUGUUUGUUAAAUACUGUUGUUCCUGGAUCAAAGAGAGUGAGGUAUCUAGCAAUUAUUUAAACCUGUUUUAAAACUUCCUUCAAGAAAAUUUACUAAGAGACCUCCUUCUCAUAUCACGAAUGGAUUUGUGGAAAGAUGUUUACCCCUCAGAAAGCCUCAUAGUUUGGCUUAUUACAGAGACAAAAAUCAAUAACAUGCAAACUCUCACCAGUGUUUUUCUCUUUAGGAUGAUUUAAAGGUUAACAAACUGUUUCCUUAACAGUUUUGAGGCUGGUGUCAUAGAAUCAUAGAAGCAUAGAAUGUCCUGGGUUGAAAAGGACCACAAUGAUCAUUGAGUUUCAACCCCCCUGCUAUGUGCAGGGUCACCAACCACCAGACCAGGCUGCCCAGAGCCACAUCCAGC